UCCAGCAUUUCGUGUGUGCGUCGUAGUGCCGAGUUUUGUUCAAGCGGUGGAUUUUUACUGCGUUGCCUCGCGUUGUGUGUUGUGUGUUGCGGUUACUGACGUAAGCGCAAGUUCUUCACUGAGUGUGAUCCGCGGCACCGUGCAAAUAGUCACCAGAUGCCGGCCGUGCGACUCCGUUCUCUGCGACUCCUUUGUUCGGUGUGAUCGAAGUACGUACGUGAUUCAUAGCUUUGGAGACCCUCUUUACACCGUGCCCUCUUCAAAUGUUUCCGCACAUCACCGAGUAGCAGCGCCGCAGUCCUUACUCGACGACACGCUCUGUGGGUCUGGAAAAUGCCUUGACGCUCGAGCACUUCGGGAGCUAUACCGGCGGACAGCCGGACGCGGGUAUCUUGGUCGUUCCUUGCUCUGCGCAUCGCUUGAAAACCGGCGGUCAUACUCCAGUGUACGCUGCCAGCGUGCUUUAUUGCCAGAGCCGCCUCCCCUUCUGGUGAUGACCAUAUGCAGCCAAUGCUGAUGUGAACCUGAGUGAUGAACAAAUGCAGAUCUGCAAAGGAGCUGUCCUGAGGCACCAUGAUUACUCAAGUCACGCAGUGAGAGUCAGCAUGCCUGGAAAAGUACUUCAAAGCACACCCCAUCUGGCUCGCUGCACUGCCUCAAGAAAACUGCCUUUCUUCCAUAUGCAAGUUUCUAAGAAGUUACUUUAUGAAGCAAGCCAGCAGGGUGUACGUGUUAGGCAUGGCAGCACGGAGAACAAAUAAACAUGAGUAUUUGGUGCAA
rnacentral:lncRNA from 1 species